rnacentral:rRNA from 1 species
AGUGAACGCUGGCGGUAGGCCUAACACAUGCAAGUCGAACGGCAGCACAGUAAGAGCUUGCUCUUACGGGUGGCGAGUGGCGGACGGGUGAGGAAUACAUCGGAAUCUACUUUUUCGUGGGGGAUAACGUAGGGAAACUUACGCUAAUACCGCAUACGACCUACGGGUGAAAGCAGGAGAUCUUCGGACCUUGCGCGAUUGAAUGAGCCGAUGUCGGAUUAGCUAGUUGGCGGGGUAAAGGCCCACCAAGGCGACGAUCCGUAGCUGGUCUGAGAGGAUGAUCAGCCACACUGGAACUGAGACACGGUCCAGACUCCUACGGGAGGCAGCAGUGGGGAAUAUUGGACAAUGGGCGCAAGCCUGAUCCAGCCAUACCGCGUGGGUGAAGAAGGCCUUCGGGUUGCAAAGCCCUUUUGUUGGGAAAGAAAAGCAGCAGGUUAAUACCCCGCUGUUCUGACGGUACCCAAAGAAUAAGCACCGGCUAACUUCGUG